rnacentral:rRNA from 1 species
GAGAGGUGUUGGGUUAAGUCCCGCAACGAGCGCAACCCCCGCCGUUAGUUGCCAGCGGUUCGGCCGGGCACUCUAACGGGACUGCCCGCGAAAGCGGGAGGAAGGAGGGGACGACGUCUGGUCAGCAUGGCCCUUACGGCCUGGGCGACACACGUGCUACAAUGCCCACUACAAAGCGAUGCCACCCGGCAACGGGGAGCUAAUCGCAAAAAGGUGGGCCCAGUUCGGAUUGGGGUCUGCAACCCGACCCCAUGAAGCCGGAAUCGCUAGUAAUCGCGGAUCAGCCAUGCCGCGGUGAAUACGUUCCCGGGCCUUGUACACACCGCCCGUCACGCCAUGGGAGCGGGCUCUACCCGAAGUCGCCGGGAGCCUACGGGCAGGCGCCGAGGGUAGGGCCCGUGACUGGGGCGAAGUCGUAACAAGGUAGCUGUACCGGAAGGUGCGGCUGGAUCACCUCCU